UCUUCGCCGGGAGGAGGGGCGGGUGGCCGACCGUCCUCGGGGGUGUUCGUUCGCGACCCAGGGACCGUGAGGCGCGGCUCGGGGGAGGCUGGAGCGCACAUGCCCGCCUGGCGGCUCGUGACUCAGCCGCCCCAUCCUCAGGAUUGCUGGUGGGCUGCAGGGAGGCCGCAGCAUCUUCCGGAGACUUGGCUUUCGGCUCUGACGUAGGGCUGAGGCGGCGAGCCCUGGAGGCCUGUGUGAGGUGGCCCGGACAAAACGCUUUGUAAUCUGAACAUCUUUCCUCCAGAGAUGACUGCCCCCUAGGAAGAAAUUUGGGGGAGGGCAGCGGCCUCCAGUUUGCCUUCACAGCUGACUGUGGACAGGAGUUGAGUUUGCUGAAACAGACUGGCAGCGAGGCCUACUCACUCCGCCCCAUUUCCCUUCCAGCGACUCAAUUCAGCAAUCCAAGCACCUAGAUGCCAGCACAAGUCGGUUAAUCUCUGUCUGGACUGAGCUCUGAACUGGAAUUUUGCAGCUAACCCAUCCAAGAUUAGAACUUUAGGUACUGGGGAGUUUCAAAUGGACUAAUUUUGUUUAUUAAAGAAUUGUUUUUUAAAAUGAA